AUGGUGAGGGUACAAGAAAAUAGAGGGAAGUCAGUUAACUGGAAAGGAACUAUAUGUAACAAAAUUUUCAAAAAAUUAAAGCAAAACAUAAGGAGAUCAGGUUUCUGUCAUGUGUUGUGGAAUGGGAAAGAUGGAUUUGAAGUGCAAGAGCAUGAGAAAUUCAAAUUUACUGUUAACUUGCAGCUCUGGACUUGCUCAUGUAGAUAUUGGCAGCUGUCAGGUUUACCAUGCUGCCAUGCCAUUAGUGCUAUCUAUAAAACAGGACAUAAAAUUGAUGAUUAUAUUGCUCCUUGUUACUCCGUAGAUGUGUACAACAAGAUAUAUGAUCAUUGCUUACAACCUUUGGAGGGAGAGGAGAGUUGGCCUAUUUCAGCAAAUCCAAAGCCACAACCACCUGGUCACAUUAGCUUGCCUGGAAGGCCUAAAACAGAAAGGAGGAGAGAGGAAGGAGAAAAACCUAAGGGUACUAAGAUGAGCAAAGUAGGUGGCAAGAUCACUUGCAGUUCUUGCAAAAUGCAAGGACAUAAUAGAUCAAGCUGUAAAAACAAUGAUGCAUCUAAACAUCAUGGAAAUGCACAUUUGGUCAGAGAAGCUGCAAAACAAAAAAAGCAAGACAAAGAGGCUAUUGAUUCUCUUUAG
rnacentral:rRNA from 1 species